GCCGGACGGUUCAGCGGAGAGGGUUAACAUUUGAUCCGUGAAGCAGGUAAGACACCGAGCAGCCUCCGGGAUUAUCUGAAAAAAACCCUGAUAUAAUCUGAAGAAAGGUUCUGAAACCUUGAGUUUUGAAUGUUUUAAAUCUCUGCAAACAUCGUUUGUGGGCUUGAGUUUAAUUAUUUAUUUAUUUUGGAGUGUUCAGAGUUUUCGAGUUUCACCCUCUCUCCAUCACGUGCUGGACGCUUGAAACCCGAGGGUUAAAGCGCGGAGUCUUAUUUUGAAGUCUGGCCGGAUGUACUGUGGCGCUGCUGUUUGAACUGCAACACUGUCCGCACAAGCCGACUAAUGUGAGCAUGCUGAUGUUAGCACCAGUAGCUAGAGAGCUAGAUAGAUAUGUACUUUAUUAAUCCCCGCGGGGAAAUUAAGUUGUAGCACCACUAACAUACAAAGAGCUAAGCUAAGCUACAUCCGGCAGGCCAACUGUCCAGUUCUUUUAACCUUGUUUAACAUGCUACACCUGCCUGAGAAGAUGCUGUUAAUCAAGAGAUAAGACACCCUGCUGACAGAGACCCCAGGAUGUCUCACCGCAGAGACACCAGGACAGACUGUCUGUCUGUGGAGGACAGCAACACACUCUGCUCCACAUCCAGGAGCAGGAGGCGGCAGGUGGACCAGGAUGCUGAAGCAGUCCGGACACUUCCUGAUAGUGUCGCGACCAGUGGCUCAGGGUCAAACAUUGAUGCAGCUGUUAGAGAGAAAAGACAGAAAAAACACAGAGAGGCUCUGAGCCAGAAGGACGCAGAGCUGAGGGACGUGUCUCAGGUGUAUGAGGCCCAGGCGGGAACCAACAUGGAGGAGCUGAGGUCCUUUCUGCAAGAGGUGGACCUCAGGUUGGACACCCUGAAGGAC
rnacentral:lncRNA from 1 species